AGCGAACGCUGGCGGCAGGCCUAACACAUGCAAGUCGAACGGAUCCUUCGGGAUUAGUGGCGGACGGGUGAGUAACACGUGGGAACGUGCCCUUUGGUUCGGAACAACUCAGGGAAACUUGAGCUAAUACCGGAUGUGCCCUUCGGGGGAAAGAUUUAUCGCCAUUGGAGCGGCCCGCGUCUGAUUAGCUAGUUGGUGAGGUAACGGCCCACCAAGGCGACGAUCAGUAGCUGGUCUGAGAGGAUGAUCAGCCACACUGGGACUGGGACACGGCCCAGACUCCUACGGGAGGCAGCAGUGGGGAAUCUUGCGCAAUGGGCGAAAGCCUGACGCAGCCAUGCCGCGUGAAUGAUGAAGGUCUUAGGAUUGUAAAAUUCUUUCAGCGGGGACGAUAAUGACGGUACCCGCAGAAGAAGCGCCGGCUAACUUCGUG
rnacentral:rRNA from 1 species